rnacentral:rRNA from 1 species
AGUAACACGUGGGUAACCUACCUAUAAGACUGGGAUAACUUCGGGAAACCGGAGCUAAUACCGGAUAAUAUUUAGCUUCGCAUGAAGCAAUAGUGAAAGACGGUUCUGCUGUCACUUAUAGAUGGACCCGCGGUGUAUUAGCUAGUUGGUGAGGUAACGGCUCACCAAGGCAACGAUACAUAGCCAACCUGAGAGGGUGAUCGGCCACACUGGGACUGAGACACGGCCCAAACUCCUACGGGAGGCAGCAGUAGGGAAUCUUCCGCAAUGGACGAAAGUCUGACGGAGCAACGCCGCGUGAGUGAAGAAGGUUUUCGGAUCGUAAAACUCUGUUGUAAGGGAAGAACAAGUACGUUAGUAACUGAACGUACCUUGACGGUACCUUACCAGAAAGCCACGGCUAACUACGUGCCAGCAGCCGCGGUAAUACGUAGGUGGCAAGCGUUAUCCGGAAUUAUUGGGCGUAAAGCGCGCGUAGGCGGUCUCUUAAGUCUGAUGUGAAAGCCCCCGGCUCAACCGGGGAGGGUCAUUGGAAACUGGGAGACUUGAGUGCAGAAGAGGAGAGUGGAAUUCCAUGUGUAGCGGUGAAAUGCGCAGAGAUAUGGAGGAACACCAGUGGCGAAGGCGGCUCUCUGGUCUGUAACUGACGCUGAGGUGCGAAAGCGUGGGGAUCAAACAGGAUUAGAUACCCUGGUAGUCCACGCCGUAAACGAUGAGUGCUAGUGUUUGGGGGGGUUCCCCCCCUUAGGGCUGCAGCUAACGCAUUAAGCACUCCCCCGGGGGAGUACGGUCGCAAGACUGAAACUCAAAGGAAUUGACGGGGACCCGCACAAGCGGUGGAACCUUUGGUUUAAUUCAAAGCAACGCGAAGAACCUUACCAAGUCUUGACAUCCUUUGACAACUCUAGAGAUAGAGCUUUCCCUUCGGGGGACAAAGUGACAGGUGGUGCAGGGUUGUCGUCAGCUCGUGUCGAGAAAUGUUGGGUUAAGUCCCGCACGAGCGCACCCUUAUCUUUAUUGCCACCAUUAAGUUGGGCACCCAAGAAAAACUGCCGGUGACAACCCGAAGAAAGGGGGGGGAUGGAGGCCAAACAACAGGCCCCCUUAAAAUUGGGGUAACACCGGGCUAAAUGGGGGGGGUCAAAGGGGGGCAAACCCCCGGGGUGGAGUAAAUACCUUAAAACAAUUCUCCUUCGGAUUGUAGUCUGCAACUCGACUACAUGAAGCUGGAAUCGCUAGUAAUCGUAGAUCAGCAUGCUACGG